GACGAACGCUGGCGGCGUGCCUAAUACAUGCAAGUAGAACGCUGAAGGAGGAGCUUGCUUCUCCGGAUGAGUUGCGAACGGGUGAGUAACGCGUAGGUAACCUGCCUGGUAGCGGGGGAUAACUAUUGGAAACGAUAGCUAAUACCGCAUAACAGUAGAUGUUGCAUGACAUUUGCUUAAAAGGUGCAAUUGCAUCACUACCAGAUGGACCUGCGUUGUAUUAGCUAGUUGGUGAGGUAACGGCUCACCAAGGCGACGAUACAUAGCCGACCUGAGAGGGUGAUCGGCCACACUGGGACUGAGACACGGCCCAGACUCCUACGGGAGGCAGCAGUAGGGAAUCUUCGGCAAUGGACGGAAGUCUGACCGAGCAACGCCGCGUGAGUGAAGAAGGUUUUCGGAUCGUAAAGAUCUGUUGUAAGAGAAGAACGAGUGUGAGAGUGGAAAGUUCACACUGUGACGGUAUCUUACCAGAAAGGGACGGCUAACUACGUG
rnacentral:rRNA from 1 species